CCGCAGCAACAGCCGCAGCAGCAGGAUCAUCACCAGCAGUAGCAGGCAUGAAAACGGAAACGUACCUAAGAAGGGACUGGCCAGCAGCCGUGAAUGUGGCGGCAAGGGCGAUGGCGGGAGCAGCAGCAGCAGCAGCAGCAGCAGCAGCAGGAGCAGCAGCGUAUGCGACUGGAGCUGUAGCCGCAGGGACAGACGCGGCAGUAGUAGCGGGUGGUUUCGGAGCGGGGCC
rnacentral:lncRNA from 1 species